rnacentral:rRNA from 1 species
AUAUGGUCAAGUUACUAAGGGUGUAUGGUGGAUGUCUAGGUGUCGAGAGGCGAUGAAGGACGUGGCUGGCUGCGAUAAGCCCGGGUUAGGUGUCGAGCAACCGUUGACCCCGGGAUCUCCGAAUGGGGCAACCUGUCCGGACCGGGCAACCGGGUCCGGAUAUCCAUGGCUGAAUGCAUAGGCCAUGAGAAGCAAACACAGGGAACUGAAACAUCUCAGUACCUGUCGGAAAGGAAAUCAACCGAGACUCCGUAAGUAGCGGCGAGCGAAAUCGGAACAGCCCAAACCGAAGGGCUUGCUCUUCGGGGUUGUGGGCGCUGAUCAGGAGUUACAAAGGCGGCAUUAGCAAAAGGGUCUGGAAAGUCCCGCCACAGAAGGUGAUAGCCCUGUAUGUGAAAGUGCACGCCCUCCGUUACGGUCAGCGUACCAGAGUAGCACGGAACUCGAGAAACUCCGUGUGAAGCUGGGGGGUCCCCCCUCCAAGGCUAAGUACUCCUCGACAACCGAUAGUGAACCAGUAAGGCGACUGAACGAUGAAAAGAACCCCUACUAGGGGAGCGAAAAGAAUCUGAAACCAUACACUUACAAACGGUGGGAGCCCUAUGUUUGCCUCCGGGCAAAAAUGGGUGACCGCGCGCCUUUUGCAUAAUGAGCCGGCGAGUUACCUUUUGCGGCCAGGUUAAGCGCUUCAGGCGCGAAGCCGCAGCGAAAGCGAGUCUGAAUAGGGCGAUUUAGUCGCAAGGGGUAUACGCGAAACCAAGUGAUCUACCCAUGGCCAGGUGGAAGGGGAUGUAAUGAUCCCUGGACGACCGAACCCACAAACGUUGAAAAGUUAGGGGAUGAGCUGUGGGGAGGAGUAAAAGUCUAAUCAAACUUGGAGAUAUCUCGUUCUCUCCGAAAUAGCUUUUGGGCUAGCCUCGAGUUAUUGUUUUGCGGGGGUAGAGCUACUGAUUGGAGAUAGGGGGCCACCAGCCUGCCUACUCCUACCAAACUCCGAAUACCGCAAAAUCUACCUCGGGAGUAAGACUACGGGUGAUAACAUUCGUGGUCAAAAGGGAAAGAACCCAGAUCGUCAGCUAAGGCCCCCAAUUCCUGCUCAGUUCGAAAGGAAGUCGGAUUGCUGUGACAAUCAGGAUGUUGGCUUAGAAGCAGCCACCAUUUAAAAAGUGCGUAAUAGCUUACUGAUCGAGCAGUUCGGUGCCGAAAAUAAACGGGAAUAAGCAGGAAGCCGAAGCUACGGAUGAUCCGGACACCGGACCCAGGGCCCGCGCGGAAUUUGCGCGGGGUCUUCGGUCCGUUGUCCGGGUCGUGGUAGGAGAGCGUAGCAGUCCGCGUCGAAGCGAUACGGAAACGAGUCGUGGAGCGUCUGCUAGUGAUUAUGCCGGCUUGAGUAACGAGAAAGCGGGUGAGAAUCCCGCUCGCCGAAAACCUAAGGUUUCCUGGGGAAGGUAAAUCCGCCCAGGGUUAGUCGGCCCCUUAGUCGAGGCUGAAAGGCGUAGACGAUGGACAGCAGGUUAAUAUUCCUGCACUAUGUAUCGAAGGCUCGAACUGUGGGAGUGACGCAGAGGCAACCGCUGGAAGCCGAUUAGUCGUGGCUAUCGUGCCUGCGGCGCCGCUGGUAGGCAAAUCCGCCAGCACAAGGUGCCAAUGGACCGCGAGGGGCGAUUUUGAUCCCCGAGCAGCCAGAGUUUCUGCCGAGAAAAACUUCAAACAGGACAACGAUGCAUAACCGUACUAAAACUGACACAGGUAGGUGAGGAGAAUAUCCUCAGGCGCUCGAGAAAACCGUACCUUAAGGAACUAGGCAAUUUGACCCCGUACGUUCGCAAGAAGGGGUGCCUCCAGCGACAUGGUUAACCCUAUGUCGGCUGAGGCCGCAGUGAAGUGGCUCUGGCGACUGUUUACCAAAAACACAGUUCUCUGCUAACACACACAGUGGAUGUAUAGAGAAUGACGCCUGCUCGGUGCCGGAAGGUUAAGGGGAAGGGUCAGCUGUCGCAAGACGGUGAAGCUCCUAACUGAAGCCCCGGUAAACGGCGGCCGUAACUAUGACGGUCCUAAGGUAGCGAAGUUCCUUGUCGGGUAAGUUCCGACGUGCAUGAACGGCGUAACGACUGGAGCAGUGUCUCAAGGACGGACUCGGUGAAAUAGUAGUUGUAGCGAAGAUACUACAUGCCCGCGGCAAGACGGGAAGACCCCGUGAACCUUUACUGUAUCCUGGUAUUGACGCCUGGCAUAUCAUGCGUAGGAUAGGUGGGAGGCUGUGAAGCGGUGCUCUUGGGCAUCGUGGAGCCGUCGUUGAAAUACCACCCUUGCUAUGUUAGUCGCCUAACCGCAUCCCGUGAAUCCGGGUGCGGAACCGUGCUAGGUGGGCAGUUUGACUGGGGCGGUCUCCUCCAAAAAAGUAACGGAGGAGUUCAAAGGUACCCUCAGCGUGGUUGGCAAUCACGCAGCGAGUGCAAAGGCACAAGGGUGCUUAACUGUGAGACUUAUCAGUCGAGCAGAUGCGAAAGCAGGACUUAGUGAUCCGGUGGUCCCGCGUGGAAGGGCCAUCGCUCAUCAGACAAAAGGUACUCUGGGGAUAACAGGCUGAUCUCUCCCGAGCGUUCAUAGCGGCGGGGAGGUUUGGCACCUCGAUGUCGGCUCAUCACAUCCUGGGGCUGUAGGCGGUCCCAAGGGUUCGGCUGUUCGCCGAUUAAAGUGGUACGCGAGCUGGGUUCAGACCGGCGUGAGCCAGGUCGGUCCCUAUCUGCCGUGGGCGCAGGAAUCUUGAGGGGAUGCUUCUUUAGUACGAGAGGAUUGGGAAGUACGAAUCCCUGGUGUACCGGCUGUCCCGCUCGGGGCACCGCCGGGUAGCUAAAUUCGGAAAGGAUAACCGCUGAAAGCAUCUAAGCGGGAAGCCCACCCCAAGAUAAGGAUUCCCUGUUCGACUCGUUCGAACGAGAGGGCCCUGGAAGACUACCAGGUUGAUAGGCCGGAUGUGUAAGCGCGGAAACGCGUUCAGCUUACCGGUACUAACGCCCGAUGACUUGACCAUAU